rnacentral:lncRNA from 1 species
CUCCCCUGCCCUGGACCUCGUCGGCCUCCGUCCGUCUCCCCAGGUGAACGCGUAUCCCUCCGCCGCGGCCGUCCCUGCCGCCGGGCUCGCAGCCCCACAGUCCCCGGAUGGAAGCUGUUAUGGCCGCCAACAGCGACUCGACGGCCUAUGGCGAGACAUUUUUUCAGUAUUUCUCCUGACUGUGGCCUUCUCCGAGUCUUACAUAUUUACCUCUUCUGUGUAUGUGGAAAAACGUUAAAAAGGCUGAAGAGUUGAAGUCAAGUCUUUUCUUAAUGUGAGAAUGAAAUGGGGAAGUUCCAGAACCUUGAGAAUAACUCGGCACAGUAGUCUUUUUUGCUGCAGGAACUAAGUCUAAUCUCAAGAAAUCAUUUAAA